rnacentral:rRNA from 1 species
GAUGAACGCUGGCGGCGUGCCUAAUACAUGCAAGUCGAGCGAACGGACGAGAAGCUUGCUUUUCUGAUGUUAGCGGCGGACGGGUGAGUAACACGUGGAUAACCUACCUAUAAGACUGGGAUAACUUCGGGAAACCGGAGCUAAUACCGGAUAAUAUUUUGAACCGCAUGGUUCAAAAGUGAAAGACGGUCUUCCUGUCACUUAUAGAUGGAUCCGCGCUGCAUUAGCUAGUUGGUAAGGUAACGGCUUACCAAGGCAACGAUGCAUAGCCGACCUGAGAGGGUGAUCAGCCACACUGGAACUGAGACACGGUCCAGACUCCUACGGGAGGCAGCAGUAGGGAAUCUUCCGCAAUGGGCGAAAGCCUGACGGAGCAACGCCGCGUGAGUGAUGAAGGUCUUCGGAUCGUAAAGCUCUGCUAUUAGGGAAGAACAUAUGUGUAAGUAACUGUGCACAUCUUGACGGUACCUAAUCAGAAAGCCACGGCUAACUACGUG